UGCAGGAUAUAGGCGAGGCCUGAACCUAUACAAACUUAUCCCUUCACCUAGCGACAUUUCGGACACUGGCUUCUACAGUCUCACUGCGCAAAGCAAGAUGAACCGCCUGUUUGGAGUGGACCUUCUGUCGGUCGUCGCAAUCGUAAUUGCUUUGAUCGUGAUGGCUCCGAAGGAAGCUCUCGCUAGCCUCGGCGGAGGAGUGGGAGGAGCUGAAGGUAUCCAGAACUGGGGAAAAAAGUGAAUUUUCGCGCGUCCUGAAUCCAGCCAUUCCACUGUUGUCACGCUCUGGAUGAUCCGAUCGGGUUCAAUAAAAUG